CCAGUUUACCAUCUGGCUGCAGCACACCCUUUCCUAGCCGGGAGGGGGAGGAGCACUAUUCAAGCCAGAGGUGAAACGGGAGUCUGAUUUGAGGAUUUAAAUAAUCAACUUCUGAAAACUCAUCUCAAGGCCCAGAAGGAACUGCCUUGUCUGGAUGGUGGAGUAAGCCAAUCGUGGAGCCUGGGAAGCCUGAUUCCUGAUCUAGUCUUCUUUGCAAAGCAGCAGGACAAGAAGAGGACAGCCGAUGCUCAGCAAAAACUUGUCACCGUUCCUUGACAUCUAAGAACCUUAGCAGAUGUGUUUCCUAUCAGCCCAUGCAGUCAUUAAGGCCUGUCUUUACCUCCCCACAUACAGCUUGUUAACUGGGAAUGUGCUUUGGCUGAAGAUUCUUGUCAAUGGCAGCUGACAAAAGUCAGUUUUGUUCAGCCCAAGGGAUGACUGCUCUAUCUUGGGGGAUGUCUCAGGGAUGCUAGAAGCUAGGCGUGGCUGCUUGCGGCCCUGAGACCUUGGGCAAGCAACUUCCCCUCUCUGAUUCCUUUUCUGUAACACUGAGCGGGUAUCGGAGGAGGUCAGGGUGUCCAGCAGUUAGCUCUGAAUUCAACCUAACAAAGGACGCUUCUCUUCCUUGCAUAUUACCUUCUCUUAUUCUAUUCACUCAGUUUCACACUGUAGUGAUUUUAUUUUUUCACUUGCCUGUCUCCCUUACUAAAAUGGAAGCCUCAUGAAGGGAAACUUCACUGAUUUUUGCUGUAACCCCAGGGCCUAUCACAUGCCUGUCAUGGAGUCCCUAAACGUGUGUUGCCUGAAUGAAAUCUCCGCGCCUGGGUUCAAAUCCCAAUUGCGUUGCUUUCUCUGUAAUCUUGAGCAAGCCAUAUAAACCUCAACGGUUUUUCCACUUGAAAAUG